rnacentral:rRNA from 1 species
UACGUAGGGAGCAAAUGCUAAUCGGCAUUCAUGGGCGUAAAACGUGCGCCGGCGGUCUUGCAAGACAGGGGUGAAAUCCCCGGGCUUAACCUGGGAACUGCACUUGUGACUGCAAGGCUGGAGUACGGCAGAGGGGGAUGGAAUUCCGCGUGUAGCAGUGAAAUGCGUGGAUAUGCGGAGGAACCCUGAUGGCGAAGGCAAUCCCCUGGGCCUGUACUGACGCUCGUGCACGAAAGCGUGGGGAGCAAACAGG